rnacentral:rRNA from 1 species
GCCAGCGUAAGCUGCGAGGAAGGUGGGGAUGACGUCAAAUCAGCACGGCCCUUACGUCCAGGGCUACACACGUGUUACAAUGGCCAGUACAGAGGGCAGCCACCCCGCGAGGGGGCGCUAAUCCUAAAAGCUGGUCCCAGUUCGGAUCGGAGUCUGCAACCCGACUCCGUGAAGCUGGAUUCGCUAGUAAUCGCGCAUCAGCCACGGCGCGGUGAAUACGUUCCCGGGCCUU